AGAGUUUGAUCAUGGCUCAGAACGAACGCNGGCGGCGCGUUUUAAGCAUGCAAGUCGAACNGUAGUAUGGCUUCGGCCAUAUGAGAGUGGCGAACGGGUGAGUAACACGUAGAUGAUCUGCCCUUGAGUUGGGGAUAGCCCAUGGAAACAUGGAGUAAUACCGAAUACGUUGUGUUUGCUAUGGCAGACUCAGGAAAAGCGCUUCGGCGCUGCUCGAGGAUGANUCUGCGGCUGAUUAGCUAGUUGGUGGGGUAAGAGCUCACCAAGGCGACGAUCAGUAGCCGGCCUGAGAGGGUGAACGGCCACACUGGGACUGAGAUACGGCCCAGACUCCUACGGGAGGCAGCAGCUAAGAAUCUUCCGCAAUGGACGAAAGUCUGACGGAGCGACGCCGCGUGGGUGAUGAAGGCCGGAAGGUUGUAAAGCCCUUUUCUGACUGAGGAAUAAGCCUGGGAGGCAAUGCCCGGGUGAUGACGGUAAGUCAGGAAUAAGCCCCGGCCAAUUACGUGCCAGCAGCCGCGGUAACACGUAUGGGGCGAGCGUUGUUCGGAAUCAUUGGGCGUAAAGGGCGCGCAGGCGGUUAUACAAGCCUGGUGUGAAAGACCGCAGCUCAACUGCGGGAGCGCGCUGGGAACUGUAUGACUGGAGUUCAAGAGGGGAAGCUGGAAUUCCUGGUGUAGGGGUGAAAUCUGUAGAUAUCAGGAAGAACAUCAGUGGCGAAGGCGAGCUUCUGGCUAUGAACUGACGCUGAGGCGCGAAAGCGUGGGGAGCAAACAGGAUUAGAUACCCUGGUAGUCCACGCUGUAAACGAUGUGCACUAGGUGUUGGGCCGAUGAAGGCUCAGUGCCGUAGCUAACGCGUUAAGUGCACCGCCUGGGGAGUAUGCUCGCAAGGGUGAAACUCAAAUGAAUUGACGG
rnacentral:rRNA from 1 species